GGAGCCUUCUUCUUCUUCUUGGUGGAGAGAGAGGGAGACCAAGAAGAAGAAGGGGAUGGCGAUGGCGCCGCCGCGUCUGCUGCGGGGCCUCAUCGCGCCGCUUCCGCUGUUGCCGGCCGACUGGCUGCCGUGCCAUCAGCAGCUGCUCGCCUCCGCCGCCCUCCUACACCGCUGGUGGAUCCCCUCGCUAGCGCGCCUCCGCUGCUCCGACGGAUUCAAGCUCUUCCUCGUCCUGCUCCUCGUCUCCGCCGCCCUCGCCGAGGUCCGCUACGUCGCCUCCGCCUCCAUGGCGCCCACCCUCCGCCCCGGCGACCGCGCCGUCGCAGAGAAAGUGAGCUACAGGUUCCGGCGGCCGUCUGUGGGCGACAUUGUCUUCUUCAGGGUGCCCACGGCGCUGCAGAACUGCGGCAUGAAUAAAGAUGUCGUAUUUAUUAAGAGGGUUAUUGCCACCCCUGGGGAUUUCAUCGAGGUCCGGCAAGGCCAGCUUAUUGUUAACAGUGUUGCACAGAAUGAACACUACACCGCACCCCAUGCGUCGUCGUACACGAUGGAAGCCAUGCGCCUCCCUGAAGGCCAUGUAUUCGUCAUGGGUGAUAACCGUAAUAACAGCUGUGAUUCUCGUGCCUGGGGGGCUCUUCCUAUCAGCAACAUUCUUGGAAGAUACAUGAUGUCCUUCACAAGAUCGUCCCUCCAAUAGCCAAGGCGAAGAGCUUCGAUGACCACCAGCGUUGCCGAACACCCCCUGAUGCCACUUGAUAUGAUGUUAUCGAGCUAUGUUGGGCCUCGAGCCCUUCUUAGUAUGUAGAUCCACGAGACCUUCCUAUGCAGUGUGAUGUAGUGCUGUCUGUGUAGUAUUACUUAAUCCUGGGAAGAACUACGUAGUGACUUGGUUAGAUGUUGUCACUCACCCCUGGACUGUCAGGUGUUAGUUAAGCUUACUUGUUGGUAGAACCUGCAAAAUGUGCCUAAAGGUUUACACCUUCUAGUAAACGUAGCUGUCUGAAUCUUACCGGUAAUGUUUUAUUAUGUACCGCGUGCUUGACAUUCAGAAGUUUGCAGUGAAUAAUUGUGGUGGUUCCUUGCUGCCUGUAGAUAAAUCUGUGCUGUGUGUUUUCUACUUCUCAUGUCUCUGAGUACUGAUAACUGUUUCUCUUGUGUAUGUAGUUGAUGUAUUGAAUAAUGGUUGAUAAUACAGGUUUUGUUCCG
rnacentral:rRNA from 1 species